rnacentral:tRNA from 1 species
GCUUCCAUGGCGCAAUUGGCUAGCGCGUAUGACUGUUAAUCUUGAGGUUCCUGUUCAAGCCUAGGUGGGAGCG